AUUGAACGCUGGCGGCAGGCUUAACACAUGCAAGUCGAGCGAGCGGCGGACGGGUGAGUAAUGUCUGGGAAACUGCCUGAUGGAGGGGGAUAACUACUGGAAACGGUAGCUAAUACCGCAUACCAUCAGAUGUGCCCAGAUGGGAUUAGCUUGUAGGUGGGGUAACGGCUCACCAAGGCGACGAUCCCUAGCUGGUCUGAGAGGAUGACCAGCCACACGGGAACUGAGACACGGUCCAGACUCCUACGGGAGGCAGCAGUGGGGAAUAUUGCACAAUGGGCGCAAGCCUGAUGCAGCCAUGCCGCGUGUAUGAAGAAGGCCUUCGGGUUGUAAAGUACUUUCAGCGGGGAGGCGUUACCCGCAGAAGAAGCACCGGCUAACUCCGUGCCAGCCGCCGCGGUAAUAC
rnacentral:rRNA from 1 species